rnacentral:lncRNA from 1 species
ACUGCAGAGCCUGUCCGUCAGUCCCUAGGUAUCCGCACUGCUCAGGGGAGGAUUCCCUGGGAGCACCCACCAGCUGAGAUCUGCACAUCAGCCACAAUCCUCUCAGGACGGCGGAAAGGGAAGGGCUCAGCCGCCAGCCUGGCCACAGCCUGCAUCAUCUCAUCCCAGAGGCGGAGCACAGGCUCGGGGUCCUUCAGGGCCUGAAGGAGGUAGAGCCCGGUACUCACCCAGCAAUCAUUGUUGCCUGACAAAAGUCACAGAGAAGGCUCAGUUCUUCCUUCCUAUGUAAAGGAACGGAAUGUUUAGUCUGAAAGCUUAGAAGGAAGAUGAGGUGCAGCAUGAAGACAAAAGCAAAAUCGGAAAGCUAAAACAGUAAGAAAGGAGACAAAAAUCCGAGAUGAAUUGUAGCAAAGUGAUAUAUUUAUCAUUAUCCCAGAAUAUAUAAAUUUCUUUUUUUACCAGAAUAUUAAGUCUUUUGAAAUGUUCCAAAAACAUGAGAAUCUAAAACUGAUUCUCACUCUUGAUUUCAACAACUAAUAUUUCAU